AUUGAACGCUGGCGGCAGGCCUAACACAUGCAAGUCGAACGAGUGGCGGACGGGUGAGUAAUGUCUGGGAAACUGCCCGAUGGCGGGGGAUAACUUCUGGAAACGGUAGCUAAUACCGCAUACCAUCGGAUGUGCCCAGAUGGGAUUAGCUUGUAGGUGAGGUAACGGCUCACCUAGGCGACGAUCCCUAGCUGGUCUGAGAGGAUGACCAGCCACACUGGAGAUGAGACACGGUCCAGAAUCCUAAGGGAGGCAGCAGUGGAGAAUAUUGCAGAAUGGGCGGUAGCCAGAUGCAGCCAAGCCGCGUGUAUGAAGAAGGCCUUCGGGUUGUAAAGUACUUUCAGCGGGGAGGCGUUACCCGCAGAAGAAGCACCGGCUAACUCCGUGCCAGCAGCCGCGGUAAUAC
rnacentral:rRNA from 1 species